CUCGAACGUACGAUCGACGGCCGCAAGUAUACGGUUGCCGGGCACCAGGAAACGUGUCGCAAAAACCGGCGCCACCAAGGACUUGCCCGCAAGACCGAAUUGCAGGAUUCCAUUACAUCCGUAGCUCAGCCGAAGACGGACAAAUGAUAAAUAAUUUUACACUCCCAGUGGCGGCAAUUCGAAAGUGCCAGCCAUCGGUGACCACCGAGGCAUUCAAGGUAUUAAUCUGACAUCGAUGGACACCACGGAUAAAAAGCGAAUAGUUGAUAAUUCCAAUAUAAUUCCAGUGAGCGCAACUCCGAAGAAAAUCGUAGUGGGUUAAUCCACUCUCUCUUCAACGGACAAUAGACUGACCUCUAAUGAACUUCGAAACGAGAUCAUCUAACUAACCACGCGUUUGAAACUUGCAAACGAGAAAAGAGCGAAGCCGAUUAAUUUCAGGCAACCGAUGGUUAUCGAUUCGAAGGGAAAUUAAUGAGUAGUCCGCGUCGACGUAAGACGCUGCUUAGUGUAAGGUCGCGGAGUAAUUACCAGCAUUACCGCGGAACGAUAAUAGAAAGAACCGGCGCGAUGGCAGAUCGCGUUAGAGCACGUUUAUAGUGGAGCUGCGAUACUCGAUAAAAGCGACGCUGAGAGCGAACCGAAAUGAUCUUUUCUUUCAAAUGAAACGACGCGUAGACCUACGAUCAGUGAAUUGAUCAACGUUCAAUUCAAUUGCUCACAAAAGUGAAUGCGAUGUUAAUUCAAUCGAUAAGCACGAACUUCGAAAAAUUCCAGUCGAUAAGCGUCGCCAUUAAAAAUCCAAUUUCUCGGACACCUGUAAGUAAAGUGUUAUUUUUCUUAUUGUUGACACGUUACGUACCGAAAAUGGGGAAUCUCGUUUUUAUAUAAAUAUUUACUUGUAAAACUUUACUAAUUACCGCGUGAUUAUGAAAAUACAUUUGAUUAGAACCGAUUAUUUGUUUUAGAUAUAUUAAAUAACAAGAGGAUAUUGUAUUUUUUACAUUUGGUGAUGUAUGUUAAUCUGAUUGAAAAUUGCCGGCCAAACAGCCCAGUUUCCUUAAAAUUAGCCAAUGUGUUAGCACAUUGCGCAAUAAUUCUCAGAAACUUAGAAUUUUUACUAAUUUGCGUCGCUAUAUGUUUAACAAGAUUCUAGUAUCUUAUUACUGAGUAUAUUCUGAACAGAUAAUCAAUUCUGAUAAUAUUGAAUAUGUUUAAACAUUAUAGACCUAUCAUUUGAGCCGUCUUUUUGUCCAUUUUCCCAUACAUUGAGAUAUUCAAUUAUUUGCGUUUGAAUCAACUUAAACAUAUUACCAAACGUUAAUCGAUUCUAGCAAUGUUCAUAAAUCCAUAAACUUGUUAGAUUUUAUUGUACAAUAACAAUUUAUAAAAUUAUCAAAGAAAAUCAACGAUUUCUCUAUCUAAAAAUGGACUUAUUCCAAAGAAAAUAUAUCUACAAUAACAAUAUACAGUUAAACUUCUCUAGAUUAAUUUAUGAAGAUAUCGUUCGUCAUUAAUUGUAUGAAUAUAAAUAUAAAAACAGGAUAUCUAUAUCUCACUAAAACUACCAUUAACUCAUUCCUUUCAAAAAACGGACCUAUAGCAUUAACACGUUGGAUGCUAUAGGGGUCACUGGUGACCUCAACCAAAUCGAAUUACUAUUCAUUCGAUUAACCCUUUGCCCUAUCAUUUAUUUUCCACCCGUAAUUAAUACAACAACUUCAUCGCUAAUAAUUAUUGAAAAAAGAGAAAAAUUCUAUGCACAUUCCAUGUCUACGUUUUCCCUACAAUAUAAUCAUUGAUAACAGAAGAAUAAUAUUUAAUCGUAAUUCAAAGUAGCUGAGUAAUAUUUAUACUUGUUAAAUUCUAUUUAAAAUCUUCACCACGAGUCUCGCACGUUAUUGUAAACAAGGGGUUAAACGAUUAUUUGAAACUUUUCCAAAUCACAAGUAAGACCACCUAAUGCAGUGACAUUCGACAAGAUAAACCUGCAGUAAUAAUAAGGUAAUCCAAUUACAUCAUUUGAUGUUACAUUAUUUUCAUUUUGUACAUUUUUCUCGCCAAAAUCGUGCGGCACUCAACGCGUUAAAAAAGACAGCAUUUCCCAUUCCCACUACGCGACGUUUAAACAACAAAAUUAUCCACAGAACACUGUCAUUUUAUCAGUGAACGUACUCUUACGAACGGACCGGCUGAAUAUCCAGGGGGACGUUUUUCACGGGCGGCUGUAACGAGAUUCGCUUUUUCGCGUGGCAAGACCGGUCACGGUGACGGUAAAUUGACCGAUAAUGUUGCUUGGCACUGAUUGCCGGAUAGCAAUGAUGGAUGCACGAGGGGCGCCCCUCGGCACGGCCCGUCCUUUACCCGUGCACACCAAGGUCGCUAACCCUACCGAGCCCUCGGGUGCUCUUUGGCGCCACACUCUCUUCACGAGCACUUUUAGCCGGGCUCCGGUGUUGUUGCAGCCGUUGUUCCGGCCGAAACAUUGCGUCUGUGUUUUGAUGAAACAGUGCGGCACAUGCUGCUCUGUGAGGAUUAAUUUCGUCACUUUGAAACUUGACCCUUUGGAGACGGAAAUUGUUUAACCGUCUGAGGCGACAUUAUUUUCUUAGUCUGAUCUUGGUCAACUCUGAUUUAAUUCCACUGGUUUCGUGAUUUCUAUUGGACAUGAAAACUUUGCUUACAGUUGUUCUGUGUUUAGACUUUUAUUGGCGAUUGUUUAUAAAGAAUUGUCGAAAUGCGAAUAUUUUGGUUGGAUAUAGUGUUGCAAUGGAUGGUAUUGCAUAGAUGACCUCUUUCAAGAAGUUUGUUUUAUUGUAUAAUUAUACUGCAGAUUUUUGUGCACUAAUUGGAAAUUAGAAAGUGAACAAUUACAGAACAUUCACACGGUAAGGAAGACUAUAUAAAAGCCAAAGUGUUGUUUUUUUGUAAUGUUUAUUUUUAAAUAUUGGAAUUUACGUACAGAUCCACAGUCUAAUGAUUAAUGGUACUCUAUUUCUCAAGGUUACAUACAUUGUCAAGGUACCUAAUCAUUUGGAAGGUUUCUGAAAGGAUCUAUUUUUAUCGGUACAGCAAGAAAUGUAAAUUGUUUACCAUACGUAGACACAAGUUGUUUGCCAUGUGCAAUUUUGUAUUCUCAAAAAUCAUAUCUAUCAGACGAGCCAUUACUCUUGCGCUUGAAACUAUCUACUUUAUAACUUGAAAGUCUUCCACCGGUUUUAACAGUAGCAAUUAUUCUGUCACGUGAGAACCUCGCGCUUUGAUAGAUGCGGAACAAUAAGCGUACCGGAGAAAUCGUUCAUAAAAUGAAAAGCAUGUCAAUAGUCGGGCGAUAGAAAAAUCGUCUAGAAAUCGCUAGUGUGAAACCGCUCUUAUUUGUGUCGAUCCUCGACCCUCGGUUUCUCCGUUACACGCGCGUAAACAAUGUGUCAGCUGAUCGUCCACAUUUUGUGACACAUCGAAUAUACCCCAUCGACUCAUAAAAAAGAUGCAUCUAAAAAUAUGUUUAAAAAAAUUUAUUUCAAUAUGUCAAAACAUUGCUAGCUAUACUAUGUUUCCCAAACCAUGUAGAAAGUUAUUAAUUAAUUACUUUAAUUGUGUUAAAGUUAAGUUAGUACAACCGUGAAUGAAGUUAUUUAAUUAACACGUUCGCUAUUAGCGUCAGAUAUUUGUAACG